rnacentral:rRNA from 1 species
ACGGGCAGACUAGAGUGCAGUAGGGGAGACUGGAAUUCCUGGUGUAGCGGUGGAAUGCGCAGAUAUCAGGAGGAACACCGAUGGCGAAGGCAGGUCUCUGGGCUGUAACUGACGCUGAGGAGCGAAAGCAUGGGGAGCGAACAGGAUUAGAUACCCUGGUAGUCCAUGCCGUAAACGUUGGGCACUAGGUGUGGGGACCAUUCCACGGUUUCCGCGCCGCAGCUAACGCAUUAAGUGCCCCGCCUGGGGAGUACGGCCGCAAGGCUAAAACUCAAAGGAAUUGACGGGGGCCCGCACAAGCGGCGGAGCAUGCGGAUUAAUUCGAUGCAACGCGAAGAACCUUACCAAGGCUUGACAUGUUCUCGAUCGCCGUAGAGAUACGGUUUCCCCUUUGGGGCGGGUUCACAGGUGGUGCAUGGUUGUCGUCAGCUCGUGUCGUGAGAUGUUGGGUUAAGUCCCGCAACGAGCGCAACCCUCGUUCCAUGUUGCCAGCACGUCAUGGUGGGGACUCAUGGAAGACUGCCGGGGUCAACUCGGAGGAAGGUGAGGACGACGUCAAAUCAUCAUGCCCCUUAUGUCUUGGGCUUCACGCAUGCUACAAUGGCCGGUACAAUGGGUUGCGAUACUGUGAGGUGGAGCUAAUCCCAAAAAGCCGGUCUCAGUUCGGAUUGGGGUCUGCAACUCGACCCCAUGAAGUCGGAGUCGCUAGUAAUCGCAGAUCAGCAA